rnacentral:rRNA from 1 species
ACGUACGCUGGCGGCACGCCUAACACAUGCAAGUCGAACGAAGUAGCAAUACUUAGUGGCAGACGGGUGAGUAACAUGUAGGUAUCUACCCUUUGGCCUGGAAUAACACGAGGAAACUUGUGCUAAUACCGGAUAAGUCUUUACGGAGAAAGCUUUAUGCACCAUUGGAUGAGCCUGCACUUGAUUAGUUUGUUGGUGGGGUAAUGGCCUACCAAGACUUUGAUCAAUAGCUGAUUUGAGAGGAUGAUCAGCCACAUUGGGACUGAGACACGGCCCAAACUCCUACGGGAGGCAGCAGUGGGGAAUCUUGCACAAUGGAGGAAACUCUGAUGCAGCGAUGCCGCGUGAGUGAAGAAGGCCCUUGGGUUGUAAAGCUCUUUCGUCGGGGAAGAAAAUGACUGUACCCGAAUAAGAAGGUCCGGCUAACUUCGUGCCAGCAGCCGCGGUAAUACGAAGGGACCUAGCGUAGUUCGGAAUUACUGGGCUUAAAGAGUUCGUAGGUGGUUGAAAAAGUUGGUGGUGAAAUCCCAGAGCUUAACUCUGGAACUGCCAUCAAAACUUUUCAGCUAGAGUAUGAUAGAGGAAAGCAGAAUUUCUAGUGUAGAGGUGAAAUUCGUAGAUAUUAGAAAGAAUACCAAUUGCGAAGGCAGCUUUCUGGAUCAUUACUGACACUGAGGAACGAAAGCAUGGGUAGCGAAGAGGAUUAGAUACCCUCGUAGUCCAUGCCGUAAACGAUGUGUGUUAGACGUUGGAAAUUUAUUUUCAGUGUCGCAGCGAAAGCGAUAAACACACCGCCUGGGGAGUACGACCGCAAGGUUAAAACUCAAAUGAAUUGACGGGGACCCGCACAAGUAGUGGAGCAUGUGGUUUAAUUCGAAGAUACGCGCAGAACCUUACCAACACUUGACAUGUUCGUCGCGACUCUAAGAGAUUAGAGUUUUCGGUUCGGCCGGACGAAACACAGGUGCUGCAUGGCUGUCGUCAGCUCGUGUCGUGAGAUGUUGGGUUAAGUCCCGCAACGAGCGCAACCCUCACUUUUAGUUGCCAUCAUUAAGUUGGGCACUCUGAAAGAACUGCCAGUGAUAAGCUGGAGGAAGGUGGGGAUGACGUCAAGUCCUCAUGGCCCUUACGUGUUGGGCUACACACGUGCUACAAUGGUAUCUACAACAGGAAGCAAGACUGCGAGGUCAAGCAAAUCCUUAAAAGAUACCUCAGUUCGGAUUGCACUCUGCAACUCGAGUGCAUGAAGCUGGAAUUACUAGUAAUCGUGGAUCAGCGUGCCACGGUGAAUGCGUUCCCGGGUCUUGUACACACCGC